rnacentral:rRNA from 1 species
AUGCUUCUGCGGCAUGGUGCACCUCUCUGCGCGCCACGACCGCCAGCAGGAGGCCUCUGUGCUGGAGGUGGCCGCCACGGCUUCACGCUGGCGCUGCCCAAUGUCCUUCGCCAGACUUGCUUCUUGUGGGCUGCGAAGACGAGUGGAGGAGCAAUCAGUUACCAGAUGAAAAACUCAAGAUGGAGGCCUGUGUUUGCCUUGGAGACAGGUGGACCACCUAACGCAGAUGGCGAAGACUUUGAAGAGGACAGUGGUUUUCUUGGCAGGACAAGGCUUGGCCGACUCGCCCAAGCUGCUGGAAGGCAACUACUUGAAAAGCUUAACUCUGCCAGAAGCAAGUCUCCCACAAAGAUAUUCCUUGUGCUCUUUGGAUUCUACACCGCCAAUGCUCUGGCAACAAUCCUAGGGCAGACUGGUGACUGGGAUGUUCUUGUUGCUGGCGUCGUAGUGGCUGCCAUUGAAGGAAUCGGCAUGCUUAUGUACAGAAAACCGGUCACCAGGCCUCCUGGACGAUUUCAGUCAUUUAUUUCAAUGGUGAACUUCUGGAAAGCCGGUGUAUGUCUGGGCCUUUUCGUGGAUGCCUUCAAGCUGGGAAGCUGA